UUCUCAUUAGUUUAUAACACUUAAUUCGCGAGCACAAUUUCUUGACAUAUUUACCGCACUUUAGACACCAUCUUUCAACCACUUGACAACACUUUGUUACAUUCAUGAAUCACAGUUAUAUUUUUAUUACACUAAUACUAGUUAAACACUUAGAUAUCAUGCCUAUAGGUCAAUGACACAAAAAAUAAACAAUUAUUUGUCUUUGCAUAUCAAUCACAUUAACAAACGUUAAUUAACUAAGAGGCUAACUUGGGACAAUUAUGUGCUACGUGAUGUCCUACUUGUUACGCGCUUCGAGUCCUAGGCAACAUAGCUUUAUUUCGUAUAUAUCACAAAACCAAAAUAGCAAAGUCCAAUGCCUCUUGGACGACAGGUGGGACGGUAAGUAUGGCUAAAAAAUGUUAGUUUUAUCCUUGUCCUAGAACGCCUUUAGACUUGACAUCCAGCCUAGGUGGGGUGGGACGGAUAAUCAUUCGGAAGUGAUAAUCCCAACAGAUAUUAACGGUAAGACUAAUGACAUUGUAACUUGUCUAAGAGUUCGGCCGGUGGGUCAAAUGAUGAUUAAACAAGUUGGGGUUCUGAUCCGAAUGAGACCAAAAACAUUUCUUUGUUUGAUUUGACAAAUUCUUUUAUUCUUUUAUUUACUCUGCA
rnacentral:lncRNA from 1 species